rnacentral:rRNA from 1 species
UGGGGAAUAUUGGACAAUGGGCGAAAGCCUGAUCCAGCCAUGCCGCGUGUGUGAAGAAGGUCUUCGGAUUGUAAAGCACUUUAAGUUGGGAGGAAGGGCAGUUACCUAAUACGUGAUGGUUUUGACGUUACCGACAGAAUAAGCACCGGCUAACUCUGUGCCAGCAGCCGCGGUAAUACAGAGGGUGCAAGCGUUAAUCGGAAUUACUGGGCGUAAAGCGCGCGUAGGUGGUUUGUUAAGUUGGAUGUGAAAUCCCCGGGCUCAACCUGGGAACUGCAUUCAAAACUGACUGACUAGAGUAUGGUAGAGGGUGGUGGAAUUUCCUGUGUAGCGGUGAAAUGCGUAGAUAUAGGAAGGAACACCAGUGGCGAAGGCGACCACCUGGACUGAUACUGACACUGAGGUGCGAAAGCGUGGGGAGCAAACAGGAUUAGAUACCCACGUAGUCCCUGAGCGGGCUGGCAAGGCGCAU